rnacentral:misc_RNA from 1 species
AACGCACAUUGCGCCCCUUGGUAUUCCAUGGGGCAUGCCUGUUCGAGCGUCAUUUGUACCUUCAAGCUUUGCUUGGUGUUGGGUGUUUGUCCUGAGGGACUCGCCUUAAAGUAAUUGGCAGCCAGUGUUUGGUUUUGAAGCGCAGCACAAGUCGCGAUUCAAAGCUGUACGCCCGCUUCCACAAGCCUUUUUCACUUUUGACCUCGGAUCAGGUAGGGAUACCCGCUGAACUUAA